rnacentral:misc_RNA from 1 species
AACCUAGCACACCUGCGGUGUGUACCUGCGGAGGGAUCAUUACCGAGUUUACAAACUCCCAACCCUUUGUGAACCUUACCAUAUUGUUGCUUCGGCGGGACCGCCCCGGCGCCUUCGGGCCCGGAACCAGGCGCCCGCCGGAGGCCCCAAACUCUUAUGUCUUUAGUGGUUUUCUCCUCUGAGUGACACAUAAACAAAUAAAUAAAAACUUUCAGCAACGGAUCUCAGAUCGGAAGAGCA